UCUUUUACACAGCUUUUUGCGUUUUAAAAACACAGCAUCCAUUUAUACAGCUAGAUAUACAGUAUUCUGAGCUAUUCAAUACCUUGCUUAAGGGUACAGCAGCAGUGUCCUACCUGGGAAUCGAACCUGCAACCUUUAGGUUACAAAGCCAGUUCCUUAACCAAUAUACUACAGUACAAAAUGUACUUAUAGGCCAUGUAUGGCUUGAUCAUAGUAAAGAUUAAAUCAUAUUUUACAAAUUUGCCUGGUUGAUCAAAAAUGUAACGUGACUCCUUAUAUGGUAAAUCACAUAAAGUUAUUUAAAAGGUUUGCUUAAAUCUUUCUGUCACUCGUACUCCUAUCCACAUUACCAGUGGAUAGGAAUGGUGAUUCCAGUGCAGCUGCUGCAGUCUACAGUAACGUCGCAGAGCUACAGAAAGAUCAAGACGCUCACAGACAACAACGGAGGCAGUUGAACCCCCAGUCUCAUUCUGAACAAGAAGAAAAUGAAAACUACUCAAUGAUUCAAAUGGAUAAAUGAAACAAAGCCCACAUUUAAAGUUGACAUUUCAAGUCUGUUCAGUGCAGCUCAAUUAGAGAUGGCAAAAGAAAAUAUGCAGAUCUUACCAAGAUCUCUUACUGUGUGAAUAUGCCACUGUUGCAUUCUGUUUUGCUAAAGUAAGCUUUUACUAGAAUCUGAUAAUAUUUAGAUUUUGACUGUGAACAACACAGUUGUAUCGUGGAAAAUAUAGGCUAAAUGUUUUUGUCUCUAAAGUUUUUUUUAAUACUUUUUUUGCAGUUUUUUUUCUUUGUUUAAAAAAUUUUUACUCCAGUUUGUUGACUAUUCAAUGUAUGAACAGCAGGGAGUGAUAUUGUUCAAGAAAUAAGCAACAUAUUUAUGUACAGGGUAGCAUUGUAUGGAUAUGGCGGUGUGCUCUUCAGUGUGCUUUUAUCUGUUGUUAAGAAGAAUACUUUUUAUUUUUAAUAAUAAAGCAGCUGUGAAAGGAA